rnacentral:rRNA from 1 species
CAAUAGCGUAUAUUAAAGUUGUUGCAGUUAAAAAGCUCGUAGUUGGAUUUCUGGUCGGAAGCUCCUGUCCUCUGAUGAGCGUACAAGUGCGUCCUACCAUCCUUCUGUUAACCUUUAAGGCUUUCGCGGCUUGCUAGGGGCUCAGAUAUUUUACCUUGAGAAAAUUAGAGUGUUUCAGGCAGGCUAGCGCCGGAAUACAUUAGCAUGGAAUAAUGGAAUAGGACUUUUGCCUCUUCUGUUGGUCAUGAGGCUCGAGUAAUGAUUAAUAGGGAUAGUUGGGGGCAUUAGUACUUAACUGUCAGAGGUGAAAUUCUCGGAUUUGUUAAAGACUAACUUAUGCGAAAGCAUUUGCCAAGGAUGUUUUCAUUAA